AGUUGGAAACUUUGUUAACUGUACGAAGAAAACAUAUUAUCAGCAUGAAUUAUAAAGUCCUCCAGUGACACUGAUUUAAAACUGACAAUAUAUCUAGUCGCUGCCGAGGUCGCUUAUGAUUUUAAAUCAAAGGUUGUUAUGUUUCGGAGCAUGACGACCUGGGUACCCUAGAGAGGUAUGUUUUAAAACCUCCGAGUCUGAAACUUAUACCUUGAACAGCCGUUUUGUUAUGGCGUGGAAAAGCAGAAAUAACAAGAUAUUUUAUAUAAUGUGGUUCUGUCUAGGGUUACCUUUCAUACUUCCACGACCCAGCGAGAGUUGCGAACCGAAGAAAUGCGAAGAACCGCGGGAAAACGGAUGCAUAAUCUGUGUAAAUCAUGAAAAUGUUAAUAGCUGCUCCUUAAAAUGCAAAAAAGCUUCAGACGAAGCGAUUGAAACGAUCCUUCGGUGUGUUCAGAAAAAUAACUCCUGCGAAAUCACGGAGCUCAGCCUGGAAGGCAGAAAUUCUGUAAAAUCACUUGAGAAGUUUUGCGAAGUCGUGCCUGGUGUGAAAAAGUUACAAUUAAUUAAUGUAGAUGGAGCGAAAAUCGGCACUGGUGUCAAAGAGUUAAACCUGUCAAAUCUCAACUAUUUAUUUAUUAGGGGCAGUCUAUUAGAUAGAAUAAACGGUGAUUUAUUUGAAAACAUGAGAAAUUUGAAAAUCCUAGAUUUGCUGGACGGCAACAUCUCCUUCGUCGACGACGACGCUUUUCGGCUGUUAAAUAACUCACUAAUGUCUCUGAGUUUAGAAGGAAACGCGCUGAAAGGAAUCCCAGAAGCUGUGAACAACCUAGCAAACGUACGAACCAUGUCAUUAAAAAGUAACAAGAUAUUCGAACUUCGCUCCCAGGUGACCUUGCCAAACUUGAAACAACUCAUAUUGAGUCAUAACAACAUAUGGAAAAUACAUUCUGUGGGCAAUUUCGAAAAACUUGAAACUUUAAAUCUUGAAUUUAACAAAAUCGUCUACGUCGAUAAACGUAUGCUAUUCAACACCGGUCAGCUGAAGACGCUAUAUAUAAAUAACAACGAAAUACAUACACUUUCCCCAACCUUCUGCACCAAAACUUUAAAUAAACUUUACAGUCAGAAUAACCUUAUAACUAACAUUAAGUCUACAUUUUCUGCACGCUGUUCAAACGUACAAUUCUUAGACAUUUCUAACAACUCUUUAGGAGAACUGAGAACAUCAGCUCUUCCCUGCGGAUCCCUAAAAACGUUAAAGUCGUCGCAUAAUUCCAUAUGUAAUAUUCAAGAAGGACUUUUUUCUAAGUGUUACAAUCUCACCAUUCUUGAGUUGCAGAAAAACAACAUCAGUUAUAUUCCCAGAGAAAGCUUUCCGGAGAAACUACAGUUUACAAACUUGACAAUUACAGGAAACCCAUUUGAAUGCACUUGUUCUCUCGACUGGAUCAAACAGUAUUUGAUUCAAAUCAAUCAACUUAACGACACCGGCAAUUGCACCAACUACAACAACAUGCAGUUUUCUCAAGUUGAAUUCUGUCAAAGAAACACAACUCUAAACGAUAUUAGUACUGAAGAGAUGCAGUUAUCCACCACGAUAGGUAACCUGGUAACCACGGACACCCUGGUGGUUACUUCUGGAGGAACUACCCAGUGGGAUCCUUCAAGUAGCACCCAUGUAACAACAGAGUCGGAUCCUUCAAGUAGCACCCAUGUAACAACAAAGUCGGGUCCUUCAAGUAGUACUCAUGUAACAACAAAGUCGGAUCCUUCAAGUAGCACCCAUGUAACAACAAAGUCGGAUCCUUCAAGUAGCACCCAGAAACCCGUGAGCCUUAACUUGUCGGUAGAAAGUAUUUCAGAUCGAGAGUUAUUCGUUAAAUGGAACCCAAAAUACUUUAGCGUAAGUAGUCAUCGAGUUGAGAAAAAGGUUAAAAUCUACUACGGAAACACUUUAACAGACGAUGUGUAUUUCCAAACCGAGGAGGAGCAAACUGGGAAUUCGACGAUUCGUAAUCUUCAGGAAAACACAGAUUAUUACGUCUGUAUUUUAACAGAUGGACACUGGGACAAAGAUUGUAUUUGUGUGCCUAGUUUUUCUGCCGAAAGAAACUGUGUGGUCAAAGAUACGAAACACAAACCGGAAAAUACAGCUCUCCUGGCAAUGAAACACAUUUCUUACUGUGUAGCUAUCGCCGCGAUGGGUUUUCUUGGGGCUGUUGGAUUAAGAUACUCUUCGCGAAAAGUCCGAGACCAUUUCAAGAUUGUUAGCUACAUAAUGGAAUACACUUCAAAAUGGUCUAAAAAUGCAUCAAAAAAAUCAUGAAACAAUUCACUAGUUUCAUUGUUGUUGUUUUUUUACCUCUCAAGCCGUCACAGAAUAAAAGGUCGUAUUUAACAAUAAGCCAAAUGUUCCUAGACUCACAAUGAGAUUGAUUUUUUUUUCUCAAAGUCUGUAUAAAUGUUCUAGUGUGUAUAUAUAUAAUGUUCAAAGUCGUUUCUUUUCGAUUCUCAUACCAGGAAAGUACGAGAAACGUAUUAGAACUUUCAAUCUGAAGUUGAUUAAAUUGCCGAAUCAGAGACCAGAUAGUUUGUAGCUAGUCAGAAACAUCAACAAGUUAACGUGUUAAAUACGAAUCUUUAUUAACCAUCCGUAUGAUCAUUUGAAAUACGUGUGUCAAACAGGCCGUACUUAAAUAAAAUAAUACUUUGAUUUACAUAAGUUAUGUCCAACAUAUCAAAUAAUAUAGAUUAUACUUUUAUACAUAAUGUAAUACAAGAAGUUCACUACGUUAUAUUAAAUCCUUUGAUUGCGGCUGUUUUAAACGCGUGUGGAAUUUUUGCGAGCCGUACACCGUAUACAGCACACUCGGAUUCAACUGCCGACAGUACUCUAUACGGCGAAUCAGCAGUCAAUGGGUUGAUAAGAUUUUGAAUAUGCAAAUCAAAAAGUCACGUGAAAAGCGUAGCUAGGAUAAAGUUGUGGUGGAACGGAAUGUAUAAGAACUGCUACAAAUCGUGGUUUACCAAUAUGGCGUCUUGUAACAGGUGAUAAUUCACGAACACUAACGUCGCUACCAAAACCCAUCAAGAAGGAUAUCCGUUCGGAAGUGAGGGCAAGAUAAGACUUCUAGUCUCAUAGCAUAUCUCGAGCAGUUGGAGAACGAAACAAAGUUGGCUGGGAGUUUCUGUGCUGUCGGACUUUGGAAACGUAUACCAGUAAAUCGUCAUAUCUGGCAUGACCAGACGUGGCGACGUGGACUGUAACGACUUGGCAAGACUCCAAAAUCGUUUUUAUAUAAGGAAACCCAUUUGAAUGCACUUGUUCUCUCGACUGGAUCAAACAGUAUUUGAUUCAAAUCAAU